UCAAAGGAGAUUUUAACUCCCACCACUAACCCCCAAAGCUAGAAUUCUUACGUUAAACUAUUUUUUG